rnacentral:tRNA from 1 species
GGCUUCGUAGCUCAACUGAAUAGAGCAUCUCACUACGGAUGAGAAGGUUUCAGGUUUGAAUCCUGACGAGGUCACGA